rnacentral:rRNA from 1 species
UACGUAGGGGGCAAGCGUUGUUCGGAAUUACUAGGCGUAAAGGGCGCGUAGGCGGCACGACAAGUCGGGAGUGAAAGCCCGGGGCUCAACCCCGGAGGGUCUCUCGAUACUGUCGAGCUAGAGUGCGGAAGAGGCAACCGGAAUUCUCAGUGUAGCGGUGAAAUGCGUAGAUAUUGAGAAGAACACCAGAGGCGAAGGCGGGUUGCUGGGCCGACACUGACGCUGAGGCGCGAAAGCCAGGGGAGCAAACGGG